GAAAUGCGAUAAGUAAUGUGAAUUGCAGAAUUCAGUGAAUCAUCGAAUCUUUGAACGCACAUUGCACCUAUUGGCAUUCCGAUAGGUAUGCCUGUUCGAACGUCAUUAAACUCCUCAAGCUCCGCUUGGUUUUGGCCGGUGCGAUCUCGCACGGCCGCAACUCCUUGGCUUUGUUAACCUCACUCAAGCGUGGCAGAUGUUCGUUUGGUCUGAGGUUGGUGAGCGCCAGAUAACCGUUCAGCUCGAGCCAGCUCGGGCUGACACUGAAACUUGACUUCGGAUCAGGUAGGGAUACCCGCUGAACUUAA
rnacentral:misc_RNA from 1 species